rnacentral:rRNA from 1 species
UACGGAGGAUCCAAGCGUUAUCCGGAAUUACUGGGCGUAAAGAGUUGCGUAGGUGGCAUAGUAAGCAGAUAGUGAAAUCGUGCGGCUCAACCGCAUACCCAUUAUCUGAACUGCUAAGCUUGAGCAUAAGAGAGGUAGAUGGAAUUUCUAGUGUAGGAGUGAAAUCCGUAGAUAUUAGAAGGAACACCGAUGGCGUAGGCAGUCUACUGGCUUAUUGCUGACACUAAGGCACGAAAGCGUGGGGAGCGAACGGG